AUCCUUUUUCAGUCGUAUCCAAACCCUAAUUCUCAUCUAGGCCUCGCUUUGAAGCUUCUAAUAUUAUAAUAAUAUGCAAGCUAGGUGAAUGGGACAAGAUAAACAUGAGUUGGAGAGCUUAGUAAGGUACCUGGCUUUCAAACUGAUGUGAUCGAUUAUCUGAAGCUUUUGCAAAAAACUGUUGUUUGUGCUGGAUAAGUCCUUUGAGUUCUAUGAUGCAAAUAUAAAAUUGUGAAAUCCGUCCUCAAGGCCUACAUCAGAGGAGAAACCAAGGUACUGGAGAAAUAUUGUUCCCCUGAAAUAAUUGAGAGAUGUAAAGCCGAAUAUCAAGUUUGUGAGAUGCAGGGCACUUUUUAUGACAACAAGAUAUUACAUAUAUCUGAAGUCGACAUAAGAGAGACCAAAAUGAUGGGCGACAAU